rnacentral:misc_RNA from 1 species
CUGGAUGGCCCAACUCCAACAAACAUUUCCAUAAAAUCUGACCCAGCUAUAGAUAGAAAGGGCACACCAGAUUCACCAGCGGUUGCCUUAGCAAGAAGUGUCUUGCCUGUGCCAGGAGGGCCUACAAGAAGCGCACCUUUCGGAAUUUUAGCUCCCAACUCCUCAUAUUUCUUUGGAUUCUUCAGGAAGUGCACAAACUCCAUAAUUUCUUG